CCUACGGGAGGCAGCAGUGAGGAAUUUUCCGCAAUGGGCGAAAGCCUGACGGAGCAAUACCGCGUGAGGGAUGAAGGAUUUUGGUCUGUAAACCUCUUUUCUCAAGAAAGAAGUUCUGACGGUACUUGAGGAAUAAGCAUCGGCUAACUCCGUGCCAGCAGCCGCGGUAAUACGGGGGAUGCAAGCGUUAUCCGGAAUGAUUGGGCGUAAAGCGCCUGUAGGUUGUUUAUUAAGUCCGUUGUUAAAGCCUAGGGCUUAACCCUAGAAAAGCAAUGGAAACUAGUAGACUAGAGUAUGGCAGGGGUAGAGGGAAUUUCUAGUGUAGCGGUGAAAUGCGUAGAUAUUAGAAAGAACACCGGUGGCGAAAGCGCUCUACUGGACCAUUACUGACACUCAGAGGCGAAAGCUAGGGUAGCAAAAGGGAUUAGAUACCCCUGUAGUCCUAGCCGUAAACGAUGGAUACUAGAUGUUGUGCAUUAUGUACAGUAUCGUAGCUAACGCGUUAAGUAUCCCGCCUGGGGAGUACGCUCGCAAGGGUGAAACUCAAAUGAAUUGACGG
rnacentral:rRNA from 1 species